UGUGUAGCUCGUACGUGUACGUUGAUCAUAGGCCAUUUCAUUUUGUUGUUGUUUGAUUGCUUGUUUCACCUCUCACUGCCUUUGCUUCUGCCUCUGGUGCUUAGUUUUGCCAUCGCCACGUGUUGGUUGAGCUGUGCGGGUGCCUUGGGCUGUGCGCCAGCGGGACCUCCUUUGGCUUCUCUUCCCUGCGCUCUUUUCGUUAUCUUCCCUCUUGUGCGUGCACGGGAGCGAGAAAGAGGGAAACACUUUGUGUCUCGCUCACCACGCCUCUCUCCCCCUACACAGCUUAGCGAGAGGAGCAGCAGAACGAGCACCGCAAACGCUGCGGCAUCCACCCCUACCCCAAAGGCAAAACCAUACAUACCUCCUCCCUCCUCCACACAGAGAACAGGCAGACACGAUUCAGGGCUGACGACGGGCGACUUCCUUAUUUUCUUUCGACUUCAACGUCAUUUUCCUUUUCGUUGUUCUCCCCCCCCUCCGCGCGCACGUGUGUGUACUGCCUUUGCAUUUCUUCUGGUUACCUGCUUUGGAGCUCCUAGUGUGCUGUUCCCAUCGUGUCCUUCCCCCACUCCUCUCCCCCGGCUCACACCCACACUCACGCAUACAGCGAACAGGGCGCGUGCUGCUGCUCAGCAGGCCAAACAAACAGAAAAAAAAAGGAAAGGCAAGAUGGACUCUCCUUCGAUUUCUGCGGAGGUCUUUCAGCUCAACUCGGUCUCAGGUGGCCUCCGCCCGGGCUCCAUUUCCUUCAAGAAUGUCACCUUAGAGAGCGAGAAGUAUGUCUGCGUCCGCGAUGUUCAGGGCGACGGGCCGACGUCACUCGUCAUUGUCGAUCUCGAGAAGCGCGAGAGCAUUCGAAACAAUGUCAAGGAUGCGGAGUCAUGCAUCAUGAACCCCAAGUCGAAGAUCCUGGCACUACGCAGCGGCCGCAAUCUGCAGGUGUUCGACGUGGACGCCUCGCGGCGGCUUAAGGCGACGCUCUUUCAUGAGGAUGUUGCGUACUGGCGCUGGAUCGACGACCGCACCCUCGGCGUUGUGACGGCAAAGGCAGUCUACCACUGGAGCCUCGACACCGCCGCCGACGACGCGCCGCAGCACAUCUUCGACCGAAGCGCGGACUACGACAGCAGUGUGCAGGUGCUCUCAUACCGCAGCGACGAGCAGAAGAAAUGGCUCGUCGUGACUGGUGUGGCGCGUGACCCAUCGGGUAUCAUGGUGGGCAAGGCGCUGCUGUACAGCGUCGAGAACCGCAGCAGUCGCGUGCUCGACGGCCAUGCGUGCUGCUUCAUCUCCACCUCCACUCCAUCCGAGCCUCGCAAGUGCAAUGUGAUGUGCCUCGCCUGGAACAGCCCGCAGCAAGGCGGCCAGGUCAUGAUCAUGGAGCUGCCGACCGGCUCCAAGACAGAUUUGUCGAUGCUGCGGCGGGUUUACAGCGUAAACAUUCAGCCCGGCGACUUCCCGGUCGCCAUGAACGUCUCGGACCGCCACAAGCUGUUGACCGUGGCGACGAGCCGGGGCAGCUUUGCGCUGAUGGACAUCUUCACCGGAACCAUCCUGGUAGAGCAGCAGUUUUCGAGCUCGGUGGUGUUUUGCGGCGCAGCCGACAACAAGGUCGGCGGCGUGUUGUGCGUCAACAACCAGGGCGCCGUCAUGCGCAUCGGCCCCAACGACAACGGUAUCAUCGGCUUUGUCAAGAACCGCAUGCACAACGCCGAGCUGGCCCUGCGCAUCGCCUCCACGGCGAACCUGGGCGGCGUCGACGAUCUCUUCAAGGUGCAGCUGGACAACUUCCUUCGCAAUGGCAACGUCGAGGAGGCCGUCCGCAUGUGCCUGCGUGCCCCAGGGAACUCGCUGCGCACCCGCGAGAUUCUCAUGCGUUUCAUGCAAAUGCCGCAGCAACCGGGCCAGCCGCCGGCUAUCUCGACCUACUUCAAGAUCGCGCUGGCGGAGACGAGCCUGAACGAGUGCGAGUCUGUCGAACUUGCGCGCGCGGUGGUGCCCAAGGGCGGCAUCGGCUACGUGAAGCAGCAGUUUGAAGAGGGAAAGCUGACGGCCUCCGAGGAGCUCGGCGACCUGGUGCAGCAGGCGGACUCCAACAUGGCGCUGAAGAUCUUCCACCAGGGCAAUGCCCACACCAAGGUGCUGAACUUGCUGCUGCAGCGCAACGAGACGCAGAAGGCGGUGGAGUACUGCAAGCGCGCGAACUUCUCGCCGGAUUGGCGUGUCAUCAUGAACAACUUUAUCCGAGUUGCGCCGCAGGACGCCGUCAACCUUGGCUUGAUGCUGUACCGAGAGAUGGGCGAUAGGCCGGUGCUCACCGCGGAUGAGGUGGUGGACAUGUUCGUGUCGGCCCAGCAGAUUCAGCAGGCGACCGAGUUCCUUCUGGAGAUCCUCCGCGACCACAAUGACGAGUCGACCAUGGAGCUGCAAACGAAGCUGCUCGAGAUGAACCUCAAGUACUCACAUCCAUCCGUCGCCGAUAAGAUCUUCGUCCGCAAGAUCUGCCAGUGCUACGACGGCAUGAAGCUGGCGCCGCUUUGCGAGCGCGCUGGUCUGCACCAGCACGCGAUUGACUGCUACAUAAUGGCUCAGAAGCAGGACUCCGACCUCAACAACCUCGCCAGCAUCCGCCGCUGCCUGCAGCAGCUGCAGAACUUCAACCCCGAGUGGCUCGUGGACUUUUUCGGCAAGCUCAACAAGCAGGACAGCCUCAAGUGCCUCGAGGAUCUCUGCACCAACUCGCGCCACAACUUCAAGGUUAUUGUGCAGGUGGCCACCAAGUACAGUGACGCCCUCGGCGCCGCCGACCUCAUCGACCUAUUCCUCGAGCACAGCCUGUACGACGUCCUCUACUACUAUCUCGGGGCCGUGGUGCCGUACACGCGUGAUGCCGAGGUGCACUUCCGCUACAUCGAGGCCGCUGCUGAGAUGGGCCAAAUGCAGGAGCUAGAGCGCAUGACCCGCGAGAGCCCGUGCUACGACGCCGAGCGGACGAAGAACUACCUUAAGAGCAAGAAACUGACGGACAUGUGGCCCUUCAUCAACGUGUGCGAUCAGCACAACAUGGUGAACGAGAUGGUGCACUACCUGGUGGAGACGGGCAACGAGAGCUGCAUAGAGCAGUACCUGACGCGGCGAAGCCCCGGUAAGACGCCGCAGGUGGUGCAGGCCCUGAUCGAGUGCAACGUGAGCGAGGAGUUCAUCAAGAACAUGCUCACGGCGGUUGGGACGAUGUGCCCCAUUGAAGAACUUGUUGACUGUGUGGAGGAGGUGGGCCGGCUGCACCUCAUCAAGCAAUGGCUCGAGGACCGCCGCAGCGAGAAGAAGACGGACAAGGCGCUGUACAACGCGCUGGCCAAGAUCUACGUCGACAUUGGCCAGAGCCCCGAGCAGUUCCUGUCGGAAAACGAGUAUUACGAUUCGCAGGUGGUGGGCAAGUACUGCGAAACGCGCGACCCCAACCUCGCGUACAUCGCGUAUUGCCGCGGCCACUGCAGCGAGAUGAUGAUCGACCUCUGCCACCGCAACGGCAUGCACAAGCAGCUGGCCCGCUACCUGGUGAAAGAGCAGAACCUUGAUCUAUGGGCGAGCGUGCUGGGGCAGAACUCGGCGGAGCGGCAGCAGCUUAUUGAGUCGGUGCAGCAGAUCGCGCUGCCAGAGAGUGAGUCGAGCGAGGAGGUGAGCACGACGGUGCGCGCCUUCAUGAACGCCAAUCUGACGGAGGAGCUCACCUCGCUGCUGGGCCAGAUUGUGGUGCACGGCCGCUUCCGCAGGAACCGCUUCCUCGAGAAUCUUCUGAUCAUGUCUGCGGUGCGUGCCCGCAAGGAUAAGGUGAUGGAGUACGUGACAACGCUGGAGGACUACGACGCCAAGGACAUUGCGCACGUCGCCUCGGGCGCCGGCAUGCAUGAGAUCGCGUUUGUUGUAUACACGCGCCACAACAUGCAGAAGGAGGCCAUCACGGUGCUCCUGCAGGACAUGAACGACGUUUCGCGCGGCCGCGCCUUUGCCCAAAAGACGGACGCUGCCGUCGUGUGGUCUGUGCUAGGUGAGUACCUGGUAAAGCAGGACGAGGUGCACGAGGGUAUCGAGUGCCUUAUUAGGGCGAAGAACCCCGACCUCGUUGUCGAGGUGACGUCUGCGGCGGAGCGCACGAACCAGUUCGGCGACCUAAUCAAGUACCUUACGAUGGCCCGCCAGUGCUCGCGCGCAAAAGACAACAAGAUUGACACGGCGCUCGUCAUCACGUACGCCAAGACGGGCCGCCUCGAGGAGCUGGAGGAGUUCCUAAAGGAGACGCACAACGUCAAGAUCGGCGCCAUUGCCGACAAGUGCUUCCAGGACAAGCUGUACGAGUCGGCGCGCGUGCUGUACACCGUGGCGAACAACUACGCUCGCGUGGCGUCGACGGAGGUGAUGCUGAGCAACCUGUCCGCCGCCGUAGAGGCGGCUAAGAAGGCCAAGUCGAUCCACACGUACAAGGAGGUCAACCUGGCAUGCAUCGAGGCUGGGGAUCUGAAGCUGGCUGGGGUCUGCGCCGUCCCAGUGGUGCUCAAGGCGGAGGAGGUGAGUGGCAUGUGCAACCGCUACGAAAGCCGCGGCCUCUGGGAGGAGCUAUUCUCGGUGCUCAGGAACGCCUCUAGCCAUCAGGGUGCGCACAUGUCCAUCUUCACCGAGAUGGGCGUCUUGCUGGCCAAGUAUCGGCCCGAGAAGCUCAUGGAGCACGUGAACAUGUACGCGAAGAAGAUCAACACGCACAAGAUGAUUACCGUCUGCGAGCAGUAUCACCACUGGGUCGUGCUGCGUGUGCUGCACAUCAACAACGAGGAUUGGCUGGCUGCGACCAACUCGAUGAUGCAGCACCACGCAGACGCCUUCGACCACGAGAUCUUCAAGGACGCGGUGAGCCACCUCGGCGCCAGCGAUCUCCUGUACACCGCGAUUGGCUUCUACCUCAAGACGCACCCGGAGCAGCUGAACGACUUCCUGUCCUCCAUCUUCAAGCGCGUGGAUCCGGAGCGGGUGAUGACGGAGACGAAGAAGGUGGCACCUAUUCACGUGAUUCGCACCUACCUCGAGGCCGCGCAGGAGCGCAACGCCAAGAAGGUGAACGAGGCCCUCAACAACCUCUACAUCGAGGAGGAAGACUUCAAGGCGCUGCGCCACUCCGUCGAGACGUACAACAACUUCGACUCGGAGGAGCUGUCGUCGCGGCUAGAGAAGAUGGAGCUCUUUGAGUUCCGCAAGAUCGCUCUGCUGCUGCACCGCAAGAACAAGCGCUAUUCGCACGCCGUCGCGGUGGCCAAGGAGAACGAGCUGUUCGAGGAGGCCAUCGACACGGCAGCCGAGAGCGGCGACAGCGAGCUGGUGAGCAGCCUGCUGGACUACUUCGUGAAGGACUAUCCCGAGUGUUUUGCCGCGUGCCUCUACACAUGCUACGACCUGCUGAAGCCGGCGACGGUGUUGCAGAAGGCGUGGCUGAAUCAGCGAACGGAGAUGGCGAUGCCGUACAUGAUUCAGGUGCUCCAGGACUACUCGAACAAGAUCGAAAAAAUGGAGAAGUCGAUGAUGGACGCGCAGACUGCGGCGAAGGACGCGGCUCGUCGCGCCGGUCCAGUGCAGGGGCCCGGCUCUGUGCCGCUAAUGAUCGAGCAGGGUGGCGGCAUGCCGAUGAACGGGAUGCCGGUCGGUGCACCGCCGCAGUUGGGCUUUGGCAUGCCGCCUCAGUUCGGAUCUGGCCGGCCUUUCUAGAAGUCUCUGUGUGGAUGUGCAUGCAUCUGUGUGUGCGCUGACCUUGGAUAGACAUGCACGCAUCGCUGAGGAUGCGUCGACAGAGUGUCGUUGGCGUUUUUUUUCCCUCUUGCUGACCACGGAUUCUGUAAGUGCGUUCCCAGACCCGUAUCCCCGCUUUUCUCCUACAUGCCCACCUCCCGCUCUUCUCCCGUUUACGAUAACCUUCUCGUUCACGUCUGCAUCAGCGUACGCGUCGCCGCCCUUGUGCGUUUCUUCUUUUUUUCUUAUGAUGUCUCUCCGCUGCGUUUUUUUUUUACCGUUAGUCUCUCUCUCUCUCAUGUUCACUCCAUUUUUUUUCUAUUUAUCGCUGUUGGGCUCAUUCGAUUCGUUGUUGUUUUUGCGUUGUUGGUCGACUUUGUAUGGGUGUUUUUGUGUCAUCUACAUACAUCUAUAGAUAGAUCCAUCUGUGCAUCUAUCUAUCGAUGUAUUUAGAGGUAUUUCUUGUUUUUCUUUCCUCUGUCUCUUCUUGGCUGUAGUUGGCUUUCUCCGCCUUUAGCGUUACUUGUGACUUGCUUUCGUCGUCUCGUUCUCUGCGCUGCCGUUAUCUGUUCUUCCUUCCCUCCCCUCAUGGCUGUUGUUGCUCUCUCUAUCCCUGCGUUGGAGUGGGGGUUAGGGGCUCGUUGACACUCGGCCGUACGCGGUUCUAUUCCCAUCCACCUCUUCUUUCUCAACACGACAGCUACCCCACCGGCGCUCUCUGGCUCUCUCUCUUCACUGUUUUCUCCCCUCUUCCUAUCCUACUCGUAGUUUGUGGACCGUAGUGGUAGGCAUAAUGGUCGGCGCGGGCUUGUUUGCUCGUGUAUUGACUGGGUGUCGUUCUCUCGAUUCUCAUAUUAUUGACACUGCUUCUCGGCCAUGUGAUUGGUAUGCCUCUGUGUCCCUGAGUGGGGAAUAGAGGUGAAGGGGCAGCAGCGGCAGGCAGCGGUUGAAAAGGGGAGGGGUGUGCAUGCGUUUCUGUGCAUGGUUGUCGGCUACACUCUUCUGUUGGCAGAGUUGAUCCUCCGCUCUUUUUUUAUUUCCGCCUCUUCCCGUUUGUUUUUCCUGUACUGCAUUUGUGAGAGGGUCCUCGCGGGUUUCGCUUUCGAUAUUCUCUUUUUCUGUGAGGAGCCCCUGAGGACGGGGGGCGACACCUCAGUGCGUGGUGUCGCAGGGUCCAGCGCCCCCACGCAUUGCGUGCGGAAAAAGCCAAGCAGCCCCUCGCCCCUAUCCCCUGCCACUGCGGAGCCGCCUCUGGUGGUGGCCGAGCCAAGCGCCUACGGCGUAGCGGAGCCACAGCAAUGCAUCCCCGCUGAUGCCGGGCGGCCAUGUCCUGGUGAGCGUGGCGUCGCCGCGCCCUGCGGUCAGCGAACGCGUCCGUGCCGUUCAUGUGAUGGGCGGAGUGUGGAGGUGGCUCGAAAGGCAUCGCGCCCCCGCCCUCACACUGCCCACUGGUGUGGGGGUGCCCGAGCCCGGCCCCGUGGCGGGUGCACCGGGUGGCGACCGGCGCAACGGCCGCUGCUGUGUGAGUGUGUGUGUGUGUGUGUGAGCACUGUUCGACGCAGCGGCGGUGCCCGGGUGACUGGGUCGGCGCACGGCUGCAGGGCUUGCCCUACCGCUGCAUCGCAGCACGCGAUGGAUGCCUGCGACAUGCUCUAUACCGUAGAGUUUCUCUCCUUGCUGUAUGGCAGUGAAGGGGAACGCUAACGAAAAACAUGGCUGCAAAGGAAAGACACGGCUGCCCGUGUGGUGGUGCGACGCUGGCGAGGAAAAGAGCUCAUCAUUUUAGUGUGCGGUGACGGGCUCGAACGUGUGUGUGGUUGCUUCCGGCGCGCAUGUGUGUGUGUCUGUGUGUGUGUGUGUGCCGGUGCUCUGAUGUCGACCGCAGCGAAAACCCGAAGCACUUCUCCACUCCUAAAGAAGCCAAAGAAAAGCCUUUUAGCGUUUUACUUUCGUUGUCCUCUCAACCCUCAGUAGGCAAAAAAAAAAACAGAUGAAAUCCACGUACGCGCGCUCGUUCUCACCUCUGCGCUUCGAGAGACACGGUGACCGACGCAGAAAGACACCUGGAGGCGGAUUUCCCCUUCCCCAUCUACCCAGACGGGAAUCUGGAAUCGAGAGUCGCCUCUCCGGACACCGCCCCCCGCUGGUCAUGGCUUGAGGAGGUGGAACAGGACGGCACGCAGCUGAAUCGACUAUGCCUUGCGGUCGUCCAGCGUUUUUCACUCUGGAUGGUGUUUCUGCGUGCACACCAGUGACUGUUGGAGGAGAAAAUGGUCUGCUUCGUGUGAGAAGGCCGCAUCUUCCGUGAUUUUUUUUUUGCAGUCGAGCCG
rnacentral:misc_RNA from 1 species